CAAGCCGGCCAGUUUCUUCUGCCGAGCCGUCUGCUCACCAUACGUCUGCUGCGCAGAUUCACAUUAGGGAAGUGAUAAACAGUUCGCUAUUAGGGAGCCAGUAUAUUUCUGGACUUCACUGAACCCACGAGGAACGUGAGUUCUGCUUCCUUCGACUGCAAAGCAUUUGCUAGGCCAGUACAGGCUUCCUGGUGUGCUUCGUGUUCUGUGCUGCGUGCCGAGAAUGCGUGAGCGUUUUGCUCCCGUCUGCAAGAACACUUCAGCAUGCAGUUCCAAUGUUUCAAACCACAAUGUUCCGAAAGGCGAAAGAGGAGGCUAUUGACUGCAACAAUCGGUUACAACUCCGACCGGGUGCCACCUUCGAAAGCAGCGAUUUGAUCUGUUCAUUUCGCUCAUACGAAUGUUACGGAAGCAAUGCGCAACUUGUUUCACAAGAAGCCGAAGAUGUCUCGUCCGGGAUGCUGUGCCAACCUUAUCUGCAGCAAGAGAUUGCAGGGGCAGGACUAGGCAGCAGAUAAAGGCAUUCUGGCAUCACCGAAAAGCUUGCACUCCACGUCUCAACUAUCACCGUCUGGGUUUCAAGCUGAAGGCUGUCACCAGUGCCAACCAGACGCCCCUUCAAAGUUCAUCUGUUUUUGUUGACGGAACAGUGACACCUGAGCCAGCACGCUUCCCAAAUGGCAAGAUUCGAGCGAUUGGCGAAGAAAAGGGCAGCGGCUGACGUCGAACAAAGACCCGACAGCGCGUGCAAACAACCAAGACUUGACUUAACAUCUUCACGUGUGCGCGUAACCCAAACAAAGGUUGACGACAUGGUUGUAAACUUUGCCGUUGACACCAUGCAGCCAUACUCCGUUGUUGAGGCACCAAGCUUCGUGAACUUAGUGAGGAACCUAGCGCCCGCUUCAAGCGUUCUGACGCGAAGGGUGCUGAUGGGUCGUAUUAACGAAAAAUACGAGGCAAUGAGAGCGCACCUUAUCACGGGCUUGGAGAGCGUGCCUUACGUCUCGGCGACUGCAGAUUGUUGGACAACCUUCAGACGUGCCUACUUAGCAGUGACACUUUCCUGGCUCGAGCCCCAGAGUCUGCUCAGGAAACAUGCAGUCCUUGCUUGCCGCCGGAUGCGAAGGUCGAUAUCCUACGACCGAAUUGCUGACGUUCUUAAUCAGACGUUUGAUGAGUUUGGGCUGCACGGCAAAGUCACCAAGGUCGUUACCGACAACGGCAGUAACUUUGUAAAGGCCUUCAGAAUGCUAGGAGAUACAUGGCAAAGCCCGAACGCCGAUGAGGAUGUGGACACCUUGGCAGACCUGGUAGACGUCACUGCGUUGUUGGACGAAAUUGAGCAUGGAGACGUUCGUGCGCAUCUUCCCCCUCAUCAUCGCUGCUCUGCACACACCCUGAAUUUAGUCGCCACAGUGGAUGCUGCAAAAGCGGAGUCCCACGAAAUUUUUUCGAGGCCACUUGCCUCUGUACUCCGUACCAGUCGCGGCCUCUGGAACAAGCAGGGGCAGUCGGCUACAGCUGCCGAAACUAUUCACUGACAUUGUGGACGAGCGCUACAGAGACCGGUUACUACUAGAUGGAACUCCCUUUUCGAUGCCAUAACGUGCUUGGUAGAGCUGGACGCCGUUGGUAAAGAUCUCGAUGGGAUGUGUAGGGCACUGCAGGUCCCUCCAUUUCAACGCCCGCGGGAUCUGCUCUUCAUGAAGGAGUACUGCGAGGUCAUGAAGCCCGUAGCCUGCGCUUUAGACAUCUUGCAGAGGGAUGAUGUGUACAUUGGCCAUCUACUUCCCACUAUUAGCGUGUUGAAGAAGCGCCUGCAGCACCUCAGCAUCUCGGGGCUCAGGUACUGCUCUCCUCUGGUUGUUGCUCUCUUGGAAGGUGUCGCCGCAAGGUUCGACCAUUUAUACGACGACAGAGAUCUUCUCCUUGCGUCGAUUGUAAUUCCCCGCUUUAAGGAUCGCUGGCUGGAGGACGAAUCACAACGACAAGAAAUUAUUCAGCUCCUGACAGAGGAAGUAGCCCGCCCCUGCUACCAGAACAACCAUGCAGAAGACGACCGGCAGCUGCUUGGGAAGGACAGUGAAGACGACUAUUUUAGUUUCGUCUUGCCAGUGGCCGAGGAAAGCGGGAGAAGCGUUGUGUCCAGAUACCUUGCCUGCCCCAGCAACAGCCCAUUGACCGCUCUCACUGAACACGAUGUUGUGAGGAAGGUGUUCUUGCGGUAUAACACGGCGCUUCCCUUGAGCGCGGCCGUGGAAAGGGUCUUUAGCAUCGCCGCGGACAUUAUGACACGUAAGCGCGCAAAAGUGACAGACGAGAACUUUGAGCGGCAACUAAUGCUGAAACUCAAUGCCUGCAAUACGUGCGAGUGAUUAGGUGAAUGUUUGAAAGACAUUUUAAGUUUUUUUUUAAGAACGUACAUUUUUAAUAAUCCUAAGUCAUUCGUAGACAACGGUGCUGUGUACAUAUAUAUAUAUAUAAAGGUGUAUAUAAAUCGGUAAUAAACUUGUGUACGUGUUAUGUA